GUCUACGGCCACGCCACCCUGAACAAGCCCGAUAACUGCUCUCAGAAGCUAAAUGGGGUCGGGCCUGGUUAGUACUUGGAUGGGAGACCACCUAGGAAGACCAGGUGCUGUAGGCA
rnacentral:rRNA from 1 species